UACGUAGGUGGCAAGCGUUGUCCGGAAUUAUUGGGCGUAAAGCGCGCGCAGGUGGUUUCUUAAGUCUGAUGUGAAAGCCCACGGCUCAACCGUGGAGGGUCAUUGGAAACUGGGGAACUUGAGUGCAGGAGAGAAGAGUGGAAUUCCACGUGUAGCGGUGAAAUGCGUAGAGAUGUGGAGGAACACCAGUGGCGAAGGCAGCCCCCUGGGCCAAUACUGACGCUCAGGCACGAAAGCGUGGGGAGCAAACAGG
rnacentral:rRNA from 1 species